rnacentral:lncRNA from 1 species
GGGGCUCUAACAUCUGGUCUCACAGUCGAAUCUCUUGAGGUACCUCUGUUACUUGCUCCUACUCCCGGUUGCCUCGGUGAUCUGCCUCUAGUAGGAGUAUUUCUGGAUCUAGCACUCUGUGUUAUCUCUCGAUUAGCCACCUCUGGACAUUCUCGUACAAAAUGAUUUGGAGCACCGCAUUUAUAACAAACAUUUUUGCCUGCCCGACAAGGACCAUAAUGAAGUCUACCACAUCGUGAACACCCUGAUCUACCCUGUCCAACAUUACCUACAAUCGCAGUCGAGGUGUUCUAAGCCUUUGAAUCCUUAAAUCUAUUGCCUCUAUUCUGACUAGAAUACCCAGCUGAAAAACUAGAUCUGGUAGAAAACUCCUUUGGUCUUUUGGAUGUAGCCUGGAAUGACCUGCUCAUGUGUCUCUUCUUUGUAUCUUGUGUCUCUGUCUCAACUUUGCCUUUUGUUUUUAACAGUUCCUCUGCCUUACAGGCUCUCUCAACUAAAAUAACGAACUCUUUUAUUUCUAGGACACCCACUGACAGUCGGAUAUUAUCAUUUAACCCAUCCUCAAACCUUUUACACAUAAUAGCCUUUGUGGACACACAUUCUCAAGCAUAUUUACUAAGCCUGACAAAUUCGUACUUAUAAUCAGUCACUGUCAUAUUACCUUGUUUCAAUUCCAGGAAUUCCUUUCUCUUCUGGUCAAUAAACCUCUGACUGAUGUACUUUUUACGAAAUUCCUCCUAAAAGAAAUCCCAAGUGACAUUCUCCUUUGGUACAACUGAUACAAGUGUCUUCCACCAAUAGUAGGCUGAGUCUCUAAGAAGUGAUACUACACAUUUCAUACAUUCCUCGGGUGUACAAGAUAAUUCGUCAAAGACUCUGAUAGUAUUUUCUAACCAAAAUUCUUCUCUUUCUGCAUCAUCAUCUUUUGUUGCUCGGAACUCUU